UCCCUGGUGGUCUAGUGGUUAGGAUUCCGGGCUUUCACUCCUGUGGCCCAGGUUCAAUCCCUUGUCGGGGAA